GAAUGGCGGUGAUGAGUUGCUAGUGUGGCGAGGGGACUCAAAGACUAAAGAUGUGUAUUUUGAUGACAUCAUACACAUCAUCAAGGAAGAAUCAAUAACCAACAACGUGAUAGAUGCAUAUGGUGAAAUUCUACUUGAACUACAAGGGCUAGUCAACCCAAGUUUGGAGGAUUCAACAUUCAUCUUUAC